GCCAACGGUCAUACAAUGCUGAAAAUAUUGGUUCUUGUCUGAUCACCGAAGUCAAGCAGCAUCGGGCGUGGUCAGUACUUGGGAGGGUGACCACUUGGGGAACACCACGAGCUGUUGUAA
rnacentral:rRNA from 1 species